rnacentral:rRNA from 1 species
UGAGGAAUCUUGCGCAAUGGGGGAAACCCUGACGCAGCAACGCCGCGUGAGUGAGGAAGGCCUUCGGGUCGUAAAGCUCUGUCAGAUGGGAAGAAAUGGGUGGGGGCUAAUAUCGUCCAUCCUUGACGGUACCAUCAGAGGAAGCACCGGCUAACUCCGUGCCAGCAGCCGCGGUAAUACGGGGGGUGCGAGCGUUGUUCGGAAUCAUUGGGCGUCAAGCGCGCGCAGGCGGCUUGGUGAGUCAGAUGUGAAAGCCCUGGGCUUAACCCAGGAAGUGCAUUUGAUACUGCCUCGCUAGAGUACGGGAGAGGAAAGUGGAAUUCCUGGUGUAGAGGUGAAAUUCGUAGAUAUCAGGAGGAACACCGGUGGCGAAGGCGACUUUCUGGCCCGAUACUGACGCUAAGAUACGAAAGCGUGGGGAGCAAACA